rnacentral:rRNA from 1 species
UACGUAGGGUGCAAGCGUUGUCCGGAAUUAUUGGGCGUAAAGAGCUCGUAGGCGGUUUGUUGCGUCGGCUGUGAAAUCCCGAGGCUCAACCUCGGGUCUGCAGUCGAUACGAGCAAACUAGAGUGUUGCAGGGGAGACUGGAAUUCCUGGUGUAGCGGUGAAAUGCGUAGAUAUUGGGAGGAACACCGGUGGCGAAGGCGGCCCCCUGGACCGGUACUGACGCUGAGGCGCGAAAGCGUGGGUAGCAAACGGG